rnacentral:rRNA from 1 species
GACGAACGCUGGCGGCGUGCCUAAUACAUGCAAGUCGAGCGAUGACGAUUGGUGCUUGCACCCAUUUGAAGAGCAGCGAACGGGUGAGUAACGCGUGGGGAGUCUGCCUUUGAGCGGGGGACAACAACGUGAAACGAAUGCUAAUACCGCAUAACACCUUUAAACAUAAGUUUUAAGUUUUAAAGAUGCAAUUGCCUCACUCAAAGAUGAACCCGCGAUGUAUUAGCUAGUUGGUGAGGGAAAGGCCCACGCAGGGGAUGAUACAUAGCCUGCCCGGGAGGGUGAUCGGGCAAAAUGGGAAUGGGAAACGGCCCAAGCCCCUUCCGGAGGCAGGAGUAGGGAAUUUUUGGACAAGGACGGAAGUCCUACCGCGGAACGCCGGGGGAGUGGAGAAAGGUCUCGGGUCGUAAAAGUCUGUUGGUAGAGAAGAAAGUGCGGGAGGGUGAAAAGCUGAUGAAGUGACGGUAACUACACAGAAAGCGACGGCUAACUACGUG